rnacentral:rRNA from 1 species
CAAAAACAUAGCCUUAUUUAACUCAUAUAAGGUGAAACCUGCUCAAUGGUUGCUAAUAAUAACAUAAAAACAAUUAAAUAGCCGCGGUAACUCUGACCGUGAUAAAGUAGCAUAAUCACUCGUCAUUUAAUUGGUGACUGGAAUGAACGGUUAAACGAAUCUCUGACUGUCUCGAGGAGAGGGUUCAAUUAAUUUGAAGAAACAGUGAAGAUGCUGUUAGAUGAUUGUAAGACGAAAAGACCCUUUCGAGCUUUACUAUAAACUUAUAAUCUCAAUAAAUAAUAAUAAUCUAUUUAUAUAAUUCUUGUAAGUUUGUUAGUUUGGUUGGGGCGACCACCUCUAAAAUAGUAUCAGAGGAAAUCUAAAGGUUUUCGUGGUAAUAUAAUUUGCCUUACUGUAUACAAACAAGUUAAUCAGUUACAUUUAUGUAGGAUAUAAUGACCCGUUAAUUAAAUCUUAAAAGUUAACGACCAUGAAAAAAGUUACCGUAGGGAUAACAGGGUAAUAUUUUCGAAGAGUUCAUAUCGAUGAAAAUGUUUGCCACCUCGAUGUUGAAUUGUGAUAUCCUAAAGGUGUAGCAGCUUUUGAGGGUUGGUCUGUUCGACCAUUAAAAUCUUACAUGAUUUGA